UGACGAGAUAUGGGCUUUUAAGGCUAGAAGUGCAGAACGAUCGGUGUUAGCUGAGCAAUUAACCCACCAAAGAAGAGCAAGUAACAGAAUACGGGUAAAAAGCUCCACCAUGAGAAUUGAUUUUCUGAAUGGCCAAAUAUAGACUCUUAGAGCAUCCUUAACGCAUGGGGCCGGGCCGCAGUUGGGUCCCGGCCUGCGUCACGCAGCGAUGGUGGGGAGCAAUUCCCGGCCUGGGCCAGUCCCGGGAGCGCAGUUGCAGCCUGGGGAUGAGCCUGGGGUCCGGCCUGGCCGGCGUUGGAGGUGAGCUUUUUCCGGUCUCGGGCCCCAAUUUCUGGUUUCUUUUGCAUUUGAAGGAGGGGGAGGAAGGAAGAGGAAGAAGAGGGCGACGGAGCCUCAAUUUCUGAUUUUUUGCAUUUGGAAGAGGGGCGACGGACCCAGUUUUCUCUUUUUUGUUUUGCAUUUUGAAGAAGGUUGAAGAGGGGCGAGAGGAAGAAGAAGAGCAAUUUUUUUUUGCAUUUUUUAAUGUUCUAAUUUAAUAUUUUAGUUUAUAAUUUAUUAUUUUUGAAUUAAAAAUGAAUUUAUGCGUAUUAUAA